rnacentral:rRNA from 1 species
AUAUCUGCUCAAUGAUCUUAAAUAGCCGCAAUUUGUGCUAAGGUAGCAUAAUCAUUUGUCUUUUAAAUAAAGACUAGAACAAAAGAUAACACAUUUCAAUUAUUAUUUUCUUUUCAAAAAUUGAAAUUUCUCUAUAUAUAAAAAAUUAUAUAUUAAAUAGAAAGACGAUAAGACCCUAUUAAACUUUACUUAAGUUUAACUGGGGCAGUUAAUCAAUUAUCAUUUUAGUAUAUAUUUUAUAAUAAUAAUCUAAUAUAAUUAAUAAAUUCAGUUACUAUAGGGAUAACAGCGUAAUUAAUUACUAAAGAUCAUAUCUAAAAAAUAGAUUACGACCUCGAUGUUGAAUUAAUAACCUAUUAAAAGCAAAAAUUUAAAAAGGAGGUCUGUUCGACCUACAAAAAAUUACAUGAUUUGAGUUCAGACCGGUACAAGCCAGGUCGGUUUCUAUCUUCUUACAAUUUUUAACAGUACGAAAGGACCUUAAAAUAUUUUAUAAAAUAUUGGCAGACAAAUGCAUUAGAAUUAGAAUCUAAUAAACUAUA